rnacentral:rRNA from 1 species
GUCUAUGACCAUGUCACCCUGAACAAGCCCGAUCCUGUCUGAUCUCAGAAGCUAAGCAGGGUCGGGACUGGUUAGUACUUGGAUGGGAGACCACCUAGGAAGACCAGAUGCUGUAGGUG